GACGAACCGAGCGAACGUUGUUCGGAAUCACUGGGCUUAAAGGGCGCGUAGGCGGGUGCUCAAGUCCGGGGUGAAAUCCUCCAGCUCAACUGGAGAACUGCCUCGGAUACUGGGCGUCUCGAGUGUGGUAGGGGUAUGCGGAACUAUCGGUGGAGCGGUGAAAUGCGUUGAUAUCGAUAGGAACUCCGGUGGCGAAGGCGGCAUACUGGACCACCACUGACGCUGAUGCGCGAAAGCCAGGGGAGCAAACGGGG
rnacentral:rRNA from 1 species